CGACUUCAAAAUAUAAAAUCUUGAUCUUUCUGUUGUUGUUACUCCUACUUUUUAAGAAGCAACAAAAAAAUGGAAUUCUCCAUUUUCUCUCAAAGCUCCAAAGACUUCUGAAAACUACUUCUGAUUUUGAGUGGCAGAGGAGUAAAAAGACCCCUAAACAUGAGGAGAAAGAAGAAUCCGUAGGGCUCUGCUGUCCACGUGGGAUGAGAUUUCAAAAGCACCAUUCUUGUUCAAUCUCCCUCAGAGUCACACAGCCCCAAAGUGCUCAGUAUGAUUCAGAGGCACUGAAAUCUCCCAAAGAAUAAAUAAUAAUAAUAAACCCCAGGUAUGUGGCGCUUUCCACGUUUUACAGCUGCUGUUUAAUCACGAAGUUUUCCCUUAAAGCCGAGCCCACAGUGAAUUCUCUCCCCGACUCGAUCUCAGCGCCAAUUCCGUCUCUGGCCAGUAGAUGGCACCAUGCAUUCAUUGUACAGGAUGGAGGCCAGAAAGAAGUGAAAUUUCAUCCCAUCAAAAGAGCAUACACCCAAUCUGACACACAAAGGUCAGGAAUUAAAUUCGGAGGGUGCACCUUUCUCCUCGUGUCACCCUUCCAAAAAAAUAAAGGCCGUGGAGCAUGCUGUGCUAUACACUGAGACGCUAUCAGCAGCUGCACCUAACGCGUCCCCAGCUCGCCCUGUCACUGACCUACAUUGCCUUGUGACUUCUUGUGAGAUUAAAACCAAAAAGAUAACCUUUUCUCCAUCCUCCCCAGCUCUGAACAGCGGCACCACCAGAGCAGGUCUCCCCUCCGCUGGAAGAAGUCAGGAACGACCACCUGUGAGUGCAGAGGCCAGGAGGCAGGGCUGGAGAUACGGCCCCACCGGUUGACCUCACCUGGGGCUUCUGCUCCAUGGACAAAGCCCCAUUAGCUCUGAUAGUGCAGCAUUCCGUGAGCUAACCACAGCUUGUUGGCAAGCUGACUACAAAGAGAUGGAGGAAAGUUUACAAGCCACUUUCUGCUGUGCAAACUGCGACACUUCUACCUGGAAUUGUAGAGGCAGCCCCUACCACGUUGUUCAGCAGUGCCCUUGAACUCCAAGGAGCGCGACAUGAGGCCAGCCAUUGCCACAGCAGCAUCUGCCUGCCAGGAGGCAAGCUGUGCUCAGAGGAGCAGCUCGGCCCACCUGGCUGUCCCCCUUUGCUCCUGGCCCAGCCAAGCUCACCCUAACCAGAGCCACGGGACAACUGGUUUGGCAGCAGCACUUGCCUGGCACCUCCUUGUGCCCACCCUGCUGCUGUAGGGCUGUCCUGGCAGGUGCUCAGCAUAGAGAAGUGUGCACAGAAGCACGCAAGAGACACGCAAGGUGUGCUCAGCCCCAUCAAAAAUCUACUGCCUCGAAUGUGGGCUUUCUGUGCCCAUACGUAUGAAUGGUGAGUGUGAAAAUCCUGUCCACUUAAGAAGAAUAAUUCAGACAACAGUAUCAACCAUGGCACAGAGCGACAUUUGAAGACAGAGAGCAAAGUCGCACAGGGAGGAAAAGAGAAGCCUAUCUCACACAGCAUGGAGCCACCCUGUCUCAGGCCAUGGAGAAGGUGCCAUGCAUCUGUCCCCUCAGGGCUCACAAGCCUUUUCUCUACCUGGCCAACCCUCGCUGCUUUCCCAGACUACCCAGCAGACACAGCUCAGGAAUUACCAGCACCAUUAGCAGUGACACCAUUGAUUGAGCAUGAGCAAUACCAGCUUGGAUUUUGCCACCAGUCAGUGCUCAGUAAUGGCACAGCACAAAGGCCCCGCUUGUAGGGUGAGAAGGGCUGUCUGUUGCCUGUCCCUGGAGCAAGGCGUGAGUGGGCUUGACUGAGAUGGCAGCAACUGCACCGUCACAAGCCAUAGUCUUAGGAAAAAGGCAGAACAGUGGAGAUUAAAUGACAGCACUGAAUCAAAGAAUGACUCUCCCCAGAGGCUGGGACAGUCCAGGCUUCCCUGCAACACCUGCUAGAGGCACGCAGGAAGGCCUGGAGCAGUCCCUGGGGAGCUCUGGCAGCCACAGGCCGAGGGGCAGCCUUCAGACACAGCUGCAGGACAGCAGGGCCCACAGCCAGGCAUUGGGCUGCACGUCCGCUUCUCGGCCUGCUGUUAUGGGCUGAAAAACAACCAUGUGCCCUAUGGCUGCUUAGGACACAGCCACCCUUUCCUCUGGCUGCUUCUCCAGCUUACACAGACUAGUAAAAUAAUUUUUUGCAUGAGAAGGAGGCAUGAGAGACAUGAUUUUCACCUGAGAGACGUGGCCUCAGCUGCAGCCUAAGCACCUGCAUAGCCAUGUUUUCCACAGGCAGGGACAGAGCCGAGCCAGGGAAGGCUGAGCAGUGCCUCAGGCCACACAGCGAAGUUAUGAAACAAAAACAAUGACCUGCUUGAAAAUCAGUCUGAAAUACAGCAACCUGCAACUUCUGCUCAGCUCAAACAAACAAAAACAAGGGUUAGCAUUAUACAAUGCAGUGGCAGGGAGGAAGUGGCCAGCAACAAUAUCAACCAAUUUAUGCAGUCAUUCACAUUUGUUAUCAAUACUAGAUUGCUUCCCUGUAGGCUUUCUUCCUCAUCAGGCACCUAUUUCAAUUAUAUUACAAUUUCCUCUCAGCUUCAAGUUGGACAAAAGCUUUUCAAAGCUAGCUGUUUAAAAGUGGAAAACUAUUCUCUUCAGCACGGUUUAGGGAAAAUAAUGCUACUUGUGCUACAGCGUAUUAGCAAUAUACCACUAGGAACUGCACUUAGCAAGAAAAGCUAGUGACCAAAAUACAUCCUUGGGACGCCCAGAGCAUGUGGCUCCUUGUGGCUGCUGCUUCCAAAAGGGAAGCACAGGGCAGCCAGCACCCUGCUGCCACCCCUGCCUCCACCAUGCCCCUUCCACAGCAGAAGGCCUGUAGCAUCACUCUCUGGUUCUCAGAACUGCUGAUAUUCCUGAUUUUACGUGCACCUGCAGCUGGCUAUUAUUUAGACAGCUUUUGUAUUAUUACAGGGUAGCCAUGACUGACCUCACCGUAAGCACUGCUGAGCAGCUGAGAAAUUCACUGGACAAACAUAAACACACUAUGCAUGGUUUUCGAGCAGUAUUUCACUGGAAGAAAACAAGGCCAAGCUAAUCAGGACUCCACGAGGCACAAUGGGGAAAGAAGCCAGCUGGCAGCAGACCCAAACGUGAGUGCAUCCCACUAUUCACAGAAGAUGGGAACAAAUGUGCAUGCAUCCACUGUACAAUAGAAAUAAUCUUCAAAGUUUGGCCGGGCUGUAGCACAGCCAGAGGUUGGAAUGACACUCACAUGACUGUAGGACUUACAGCACAGAGACAGGUGAGAAAGAAUGAAGACACAUUUGAAUGAACUUCCUCUGAAGCCCCAGAGGAAGAUUCCUCUUUUGUCACAACACGUUACAAUGCUGCAGAGAUGCACUAUGGUGGCAGGACGUCUCAGAUGUCCUCAGAUCAGCAUCUCAUCCUGCUAGUCCUGAACUUUUUAUUUUGGAAGGAGAAGUUCUGCAAGCAAAAGAAUCAGGGAGCUGCCUUUGUGCCAUCAGGAGAGCAACCAAUGACCCAGUUCUGCAAAGGAAGCUUCUCAGCAGAGCUGGGACGACUGAGCUGAUUCAGUCUCAGCCUGCCCUGCCGGUUCUCAGUACACGUGCUCUGACUCUUUACUAGUUAGCUAUGCACACACCCCUUCCCAUCGUUUUUUUUUCUUGUGACUAUUUUGUUUAAGGUUGUCAUCUUCUUAAUACCUUCAUAUUUCAAGGCAAUAAUAAAUCAAAAUUAAUAAAAUCUCUCAGAAUAAAAGUCUGCCUUCAAGACCGUAUUCCUCACUUUGUUUUCUGCUUUCCUUUAUCUCUACUGCAACACAAGGAGGAACAAGCAAGAGAAAGAGAUGGUUUACACAGCGACGGCACAGGAAAACAAAUCCACCAGUCUCUGAAGUACUGCUCUUGUCCUCGUUCACAGAAUUAAACUCUAUUCUUAUGGAUCUGCUAAACUCCUGCCUAGUUAAACAGAACGUGGAUUUAAGCAACUACAGCAAUCACACUCCUGCCAGCAAGUUUAAAUUUAAAGAUCAAAAAGCACGCAGUGUUGAGAGAAAUAAUCUUCUCCAAGUCUAAGGAACUUUCUACAAAAGAAUUUAGUUAUUUUAAA
ensembl:lncRNA